GACGAACGCUGGCGGCGUGCUUAACACAUGCAAGUCGAACGGAAAGGCCCCUUUGGGGGUCCUCGAGUGGCGAACGGGUGAGUAACACGUGAGUAACCUGCCCUUGACUUCGGGAUAACUUCAGGAAACUGGGGCUAAUACCGGAUAGGAAUCCUUGCUGCAUGGUGGGGGUUGGAAAGCUUCGGCGGUUUUGGAUGGACUCGCGGCUUAUCAGCUUGUUGGUGGGGUAGUGGCUUACCAAGACUUUGACGGGUAGCCGGCCUGAGAGGGCGACCGGCCACAUUGGGACUGAGAUACGGCCCAGACUCCUACGGGAGGCAGCAGUGGGGAAUAUUGCACAAUGGGCGGAAGCCUGAUGCAGCAACGCCGCGUGCGGGAUGACGGCCUUCGGGUUGUAAACCGCUUUCAGCAGGGGCGAAGCUUGUGGUGACGGUACCUGCAGAAGAAGCACCGGCUAACUACGUG
rnacentral:rRNA from 1 species